rnacentral:rRNA from 1 species
UACGUAGGGAGCAAGCGUUGUCCGGAAUCAUUGGGCGUAAAGCGCGCGUAGGCGGCCCCGUAAGUCCGCUGUGAAAGUCAAAGGCUCAACCUUUGAAAGCCGGUGGAUACUGUGGGGCUAGAGUCCGGAAGAGGCGAGUGGAAUUACUGGUGUAGCGGUGGAAUGCGCAGAUAUCAGGAGGAACACCAAUAGCGAAGGCAGCUCGCUGGGACGGUACUGACGCUAAGGCGCGAAAGCGUGGGAGCGAACAGG